rnacentral:rRNA from 1 species
AAUGAACGUUGGCGGCGUGGAUUAGGCAUGCAAGUCGCGCGAUAAGCGUAGCAAUACGCAGAAAGCGGCGUAAGGGAGAGUAAUACAUGGUUAGCUACCCUCGGGACUGGGAUAGCGGCGGGAAACUGCCGGUAAUACCAGAUGACGUCUUCGGACCAAACGUGUAAACCGGCCCGAGGAGGUGACCAUGUCCUAUCAGCUAGUUGGCGGUGUAACGGACCACCAAGGGCUAAGACGGGUAUGGGGCGUGAGAGCGUGCCCCCACUCACUGGGACUGAGACACUGCCCAGACACCUACGGGAGGCUG